CCCCUCCUCCUCCAAACCUCCCUCUCCUCCCAGCUCAGCCCCUUUGCCUCUGCUCCUGAGCUCUGCCCUCCGGCUGGAGCCACAGGUUUAUCUGGAGGCAAGGAGGAGGGAGGGAUCUGCUGGAUCCUGGAGCAGAAAGGGUUUAGCUGCCCAGGAGGGACGAAGAGAGGCAGAGCCUGGGCACCAUGGCUGGAUUCUCCACUCCCGGGCUUCUGUUCCUGUGGCUAUUAGCCACAGCAUCGGCUCAGAGAGUAGGACCCCAAGGCCCUCCUGGACCACGAGGACCCCCUGGACCAUCUGGCAAGGACGGGAUAGAUGUGAGUGCUGCAUGGCAGUGGGCAGGCUCGGGCGAGGGGUGGAGCAGAGGCAGAGCCAACUGAGCAGAGAAGCUGCUCUUGUUCUCCCUGGCC
rnacentral:lncRNA from 1 species